GGCAGGCCUAACACAUGCAAGUCGAACGGGUNAGCACAGAGGAGCUUGCUCCUUGGGUGACGAGUGGCGGACGGGUGAGUAAUGUCUGGGAAACUGCCCGAUGGAGGGGGAUAACUACUGGAAACGGUAGCUAAUACCGCAUAACGUCGCAAGACCAAAGAGGGGGACCUUCGGGCCUCUGCCAUCGGAUGUGCCCAGAUGGGAUUAGCUAGUAGGGUGGGGUAACGGCCCACCUAGGCGACGAUCCCUAGCUGGUUGAGAGGAUGACCAGCCACACUGGAACUGAGACACGGUCCAGACUCCUACGGGAGGCAGCAGUGGGGAAUAUUGCACAAUGGGCGCAAGCCUGAUGCAGCCAUGCCGCGUGUAUGAAGAAGGCCUUCGGGUUGUAAAGUACUUUCAGCGAGGAGGAAGGCGUUGU
rnacentral:rRNA from 1 species